GGCCUAUUUGAUCCAAUAUUGACUAUGGAAGAGUAUACGCUCUAGGGGCCUCUACCCUAGGGGUGCAUCUGCACCUUAACCCACACACACACACACAUAUAUAUAGGAGGGCUAAUGUAUUAUUAUUAAAUUGAGGUUUAUUAUAAAUAAAAAGAAAAAAAAAUGUCAUCCCUUGAAAGCACAAAAAUGCAGACUAAGGGCACAAAUCUCC
rnacentral:lncRNA from 1 species